UACGUAGGGCGCAAGCGUUGUCCGGAAUUAUUGGGCGUAAAGAGCUCGUAGGCGGUUUGUCGCGUCUGCUGUGAAAACCUGGGGCUUAACCCCGGGCCUGCAGUGGGUACGGGCAGACUAGAGUGUGGUAGGGGAGACUGGAAUUCCUGGUGUAGCGGUGAAAUGCGCAGAUAUCAGGAGGAACACCGGUGGCGAAGGCGGGUCUCUGGGCCAUAACUGACGCUGAGGAGCGAAAGCGUGGGGAGCGAACAGG
rnacentral:rRNA from 1 species